GCUCAGUGACAGGGCUGCGGUCUUACCUGCUCGGGAGCCUGCAGCAUUCCCACGGCUCAGCCAUGCUCCUGCUGCUCAUCCCAGUGCUUGAGAUGGCUUUUGGCCUGAGAGGAGUUGGAGCCCAGUCAGUGACCCAGGCUGAUGGCCACACGGACACCGCUGUCCCUGAAGGAGACCCUGUGGAGCUGAGGUGCAAGUAUUCCUCUUCUGUCCCACCCUAUCUCUUCUGGUACGUGCAGUACCCCAACCAAGGACUCCAGCUUCUCCUGAAGUACACGUCUGGAAAUAGCUUUGUUUCAGGCAUCAGAGGCUUUGGGGCUGAAUUUAGGAAGAAUGAAACCUCCUUCCCCCUGAGGAAAACAUCAGCCCAUUUGAGUGACUCGGCCAAGUACUUCUGUGCUCUGAGUGACACAGUGACCGAGACUGCAGGGGGAGCUGAACACAAAUCUCUGAGACUGUGGGACUUCUUGUGACUCGAGAGAGAGCUUUCAAAAGGGUAUUUUUUUUCUUUGAAGGCAAAUAGGGCAGGAUGGGCUGGGCCCUGGGGAAUGCUUGUCUCUGGAGUAGGUGCUUCGACAUCAAUGCUGUGCCACAUUCAGAUAGACGUUCUAUGGGAUGGAGGUCUUCUAAUGAAC